AUUGAACGCUGGCGGCAGGCCUAACACAUGCAAGUCGAACGGUAACAGGAAGACGCUUGCUUCUUUGCUGACGAGUGGCGGACGGGUGAGUAAUGUCUGGGAAACUGCCUGAUGGAGGGGGAUAACUACUGGAAACGGUAGCUAAUACCGCAUAACGUCGCAAGACCAAAGAGGGGGACCUUCGGGCCUCUUGCCAUCGGAUGUGCCCAGAUGGGAUUAGCUAGUAGGUGGGGUAACGGCUCACCUAGGCGGCGAUCCCUAGCUGGUCUGAGAGGAUGACCAGCCACACUGGAACUGAGACACGGUCCAGACUCCUACGGGAGGCAGCAGUGGGGAAUAUUGCACAAUGGGCGCAAGCCUGAUGCAGCCAUGCCGCGUGUAUGAAGAAGGCCUUCGGGUUGUAAAGUACUUUCAGCGGGGAGGAAGGGAGUAAAGUUAAUACCUUUGCUCAUUGACGUUACCCGCAGAAGAAGCACCGGCUAACUCCGUG
rnacentral:rRNA from 1 species